rnacentral:rRNA from 1 species
AUACGUAGGGUGCAAGCGUUAAUCGGAAUUACUGGGCGUAAAGCGUGCGCAGGCGGUUUUGUAAGACAGUGGUGAAAUCCCCGGGCUCAACCUGGGAACUGCCAUUGUGACUGCAAGGCUGGAGUGCGGCAGAGGGGGAUGGAAUUCCGCGUGUAGCAGGGAAAUGCGUAGAUAUGCGGAGGAACACCGAUGGCGAAGGCAAUCCCCUGGGCCUGUACUGACGCUCAUGCACGAAAGCGUGGGGAGCAAACAGGAUUAGAUUCCCUGGUAGUCCACGCCCUAAACGAUGUCAACUGGUUGUUGGGUCUUCAUUGACUCAGUAACGAAGCUAACGCGUGAAGUUGACCGCCUGGGGAGUACGGCCGCAAGGUUGAAACUCAAAUGAAUUGACGGGG